rnacentral:rRNA from 1 species
AGGGGAAGGUUUCGAUGCUGGCUCCUCCUUCGAGGAUGCAUCGUGCACAGCGUUUCCUUUCUUGGCUCAUUUGUUUCCUUUCAAAAAAAAAAACCCUUAUUGAUGCAUGUGUGCACUUCUCAAAAAGUGCCUUUCGUGUUGAGAAAGAAAAGAGAUGACAUGGAGAGAAAUAGAGGAAGGUGGCUGAUCUUUGAUCAACCUUUUUUGUAUAUCUUGAUAUGUCUUCUGAUCAAAUAAUACAACUUUCAACAACGGAUCUCUGGGCUCUCGCAUCGAUGAAGAACGCAGCGAAUUGCGAUAAGUAAUGUGAAUUGCAGAAUUCAGUGAAUCAUCGAAUCUUUGAACGCAUCUUGCGCUUUUUGGCUAUUCCAAAGAGCAUGCCUGUUUGAGGGUCAUUGAAAAUUUCAAGCUUUCUUACAGUCUCAAUUCUUGGGUCUGUGGCUUGGAUAUUGGGAGUGCUGCAGGUUCGUCUCAUUUUCUCGAAAGAAUUUGGGAGUUUCUGCUCUCCUCAAAUGCAUCAGUCAGGCUUCUUUUCACUUCGAGGCCUUUGUGGUGUUGAUAGGUUGUCUAUGCCAUUGAUGGUUUUGAAAACAAGUUGAGCCUGGCUUUACCUUUAAGCUCUUUUGAAUAACCUU